AGUGAACGCUGGCGGCGUGCUUAACACAUGCAAGUCGAACGAGAACGGGUUAUAGCUUGCUAUAAUUGUCAGCUAAGUGGCGCACGGGUGAGUAAUGUAUAGGUAAUGUGCCUCUUACUAAGGGAUAACAAUUGGAAACGAUUGCUAAUACCUUAUACUCCUUAUUAACAGAAGUUAAUAAGGGAAAGAUUUAUUGGUAAGAGAUUAGCCUGUAUUGUAUCAGUUAGUUGGUGGGGUAAUGGCUUACCAAGACUAUGACACAUAACUGGUUUGAGAUGAUGACCAGUCACACUGGAACUGAGACACGGUCCAGACUCCUACGGGAGGCAGCAGUGGGGAAUAUUGCACAAUGGACGAAAGUCUGAUGCAGCAACGCCGCGUGGAGGAUGACACAUUUCGGUGCGUAAACUCCUUUUAUAUGAGAAGAUAAUGACGGUAUUAUAUGAAUAAGCACCGGCUAACUCCGUGCCAGCCGCCGCAGUAA
rnacentral:rRNA from 1 species